rnacentral:tRNA from 1 species
GCUCUCGUAGCUCAGCUGGAUAGAGCGACUGCCUCCUAAGCAGUAGGUCGUGCGUUCGAAUCGCGCCGAGGGCA